AUGUAUCCAUGUGUGAGGCAUGGAGGGGGCACCGGGGCUGGGCAGGGAGGCGGGUUCACUGGGAGCUGUCAGCUGGUUCCCUCUCCGUCUCCUCUCUCUCUUUCUGUUCUGCCGGAGUCCCCAAGAGCAGUGAUGGCGCAGCUGACCUACAAGACAGGCGCUGCCAGUCCCCAUUUGACAGAGGACAACCCUGGUACAGAGAAGUUAAGUGACUUGCCCAAGACCACCCAGUCGGAAGUGCUAGAGCCAGGAUUGCACCCACAACUCUGCCUCCUGGCUCCUCUUCUCGGAAUCUUUCCAAAGACUUGUUCUCCACUCCUGCCUCACUCCACUUACCCCCACCCCACUGCAUCUUUUUCCCAGAUCUGCCUGAGCUACUACUGCCAGGACCCUCAGCAGAGCGGGUGGAUGCGCUCAGUGCACCACACGGGUCUGGAGACGGCGGGAUGGAGAGGCACAGUACCUUCAUCUGGGGGGACAGCCUUGCAUCCCGUCUGGACGAACGGAUACGACGAGAGACAUAGAGGGCGAUACGAGCCAGCAGGAAGGAGGGCCUGUGCAGAUGCAGGGACGCAAGACACGCUAUGCGUGGAGGGAACGCCGCGGAGAGAACGCCGCGGAGACGCAGGCGGGUGCGAAGGGCAUCUGACGUCGCUGAGGGUGCAGUCGGUGGAGCAUCCUCAGCUCCUGCGUCCCAGGGACAGGAGCAUCUGUGCCGGGACGGAUCACUGCGCCUGCGCGCCCUCUUCCAAAGAUCCUCCCGAUUCCCUCAGCUUGGCAGUGAACCUUUUUAUGAGAAAAUUUGGGUUUUCUCUUGUAUUUUGCAGAGUGGUCAUAAAUGUGUGAAUUAAUAAUUAAAAUUAAGAAAUCACAGGGCUGGCUCCAUGGCUGAGUAGUUAAGUUCCCGCGCUUCGCUUCGGUGGCCCAGGGUUUCACCGGUUCGGAUCCUGGGCGUGGACAUGGCACCACUCACCAGGCCAUGCUGAGGCAGCGUCCCACAUGCCACAACUAGAAGGACACACAACUUAAAAAAUGGAUAACUAUGGGGGCUGGCCCCGUGGCCGAGUGGUUAAGUUCGCGCGCCCCGCUGCAGGCGGCCCAGUGUUUCGCUGGUUCGAAUCCUGGGCGCGGACAUGGCACUGCUCAUCAAACCACGCCGAGGCAGCGUCCCACAUACCACAACUAGAAAGACCCACAACGAAGAAUAUACAACUAUGUACUGGGGAGCUUGGGGGAGAAACAGGGAAAAAAUAUAUAUAUUAAAAUAAAAAAAAAUGCACAACUAUGUACUGGGGGGCU
rnacentral:lncRNA from 1 species